CCUGCCCACUGGAUGGGCUUUGAGGUCCCUUCCAACCCAAAUCAUUCUGUGAUUCUAUGAUAGGUCUGACACCAUGUGGGGCCAGUUCUAUGCCAUGCAGGUAGGCGUGUGGGUACAACCUAGCUAUAGCGUUACUCCUAUUUUAUAAAAACCAAGACAGCAUUGCUCAGGGCACCAUGCAGUGUCACUGUAGCCCACGCUACAGCUGCAGCGAUGAGGUAAGGGAGCUUGCAGCAGUUCCUGGAUGGAGAGGAAAUCCCGGGAGGCUGAGUGUGCCUCGAGGCUGCCAGAGGUGCAGGUGGACGUGGCCUUCCCUCAGCAUGAGCACGAACAUGGUACCAGCAGGAGACUGACAUCCCAGCCCCAACAGCAGCUCAUAGCAUGGCUGCUGCUGUGCAACAACUUUUUCAUGCUUGAUGGUCUAACUGUUGCAGUUAUUUUCUCUUUCUUCCUCAAAACCACGCUGUAAUAUUGGAGGCCAGUCAAUCAACGACAGGGCACGCGCUGAUUUUCGCUUUGUGAACGGGCUUUUGAGCAGCUGGCUUUGAAGGAAAGCCCUAGAACUGAAAGCCGGUUUCUGUUUCACUGCCUGCUUUCCGAUGGCUCGGGCAGAAGGCUGACCCAGCUGGCCGCCCGGCUCGGCGCUGAGGCGGCAAGGCGCAGCCCAUAGCUCUCGCACGGGACAGGCGGGAACGCCCCCACACACCGAACUGCUCGGAGCUCAGCAGGCCCGCCCCUCCCGCUGCCGCACCAGCCGCCGCCGAGAGUCAAAAAGUGCCGGGUGCAGCGGCCGCAGCUCUCGGUUUCUUUCGGCCUCGCUGGGGCGAGCAACCGUGAUGCAGCCUGUGUUGUCGGGGCUGCGCGUGCUGGUCGGCUCCUUCAUGGGUGAGGCGGCGGGCAGAGCCCAGGACCCCGCGGGCAGCCCCGCUCCCCCCGCGGCUACACUGCUCAAAACGAGAACAGCAGCUUUGUGGCCAAGUGCACAGAUGAUGGUGUUGAAAAAUGAAGGAGGGAUGCUGUGGGAAAGCCCUUCCAAGUAAAUGGGCUAGUGAGCCUGAGGAUCUACAGAUAAAGUGAGAAAACUGGUUAUUCCGUGUAUGGCAGAAUAGUUGAUCAGCGCUUCAUCUUGUUAGUGAAAUUCCAGGUCACGCUGAUGCAAUGUUUCUUAACAGUUAUGCCAUACUUCCUGAACUAAUGAAGUCCUUUACUCAGUUUCACACUGUGAUUCCCAAGAAAUACUGCCUCUCACAGAUUUGCCUCUGGGAUCGUUGACCUUUCGUUUAUAAUGAUAAACCUUACUAGCAUGGCAGUGCCUGGCAAAGGACAAGAGAACAUCAUUCAUCAAGAGCAACUGCUACACUCUUAGUGCGUCUUCCACCUAAUCUUAGAUCAUAAAAAAAAAAAAAUUGCCUUGUGAACCAAACAACAGUUUGAGCCAGUGGAAGAGAAUUCAACAGCGGAAGAGCUGCUAUCUGUUCUCUUGGAAUCUUUCCAGAAACACUGAAGUUGUCCAUGAAGUGAUGCUUUGAAGACUAGUCGAGCUGUUUCCAGUGUCUAUUUUUCCAUCCUCAGAAUGGAUAGCCUCUUUUGUGAAUGUUGCUGCAUGAAGGUACCACUAUAAAGAACAUGUCUCCAUCUUCUUGACAAUCACCUUGUAGGGUGUCUGCUGUGCGCAUGAGAAACUUCAAGCAGCACUGGAAGUCUGGACUUUGCAGUUUCCAAAGCAGUAUUGGUGUAUGACAUGGGUCCAAGAAAUGCUGACUGCAUGCCAGGAAGCAAGCAUGGCCUCUGACACCCUCAAAUCCCCACUCACUGCCAAUGCUGAGACACGAUGCUAGUAACACAAAUUGUUGAGAGAAGAGUGUGGAGAGUUGGACCACGAGGAUGGAAAAGAGAGGAAUUGAGUGAUGAAUGUAAAGUGGACUUGCUGUCGCAUCUGCUCCAAAGCUUGCCAGCAUCCACAGAAAAGGCUCUCGCUGGCUUCUAGUGGGUGUGGAGCUGAUUGGUGCCUGUGGCCAGCCGAGCAGUGAAAAGGUCACAGGGAAUAAUACCUAAUUUGGGACAGCUGUCAUGUGAUCCCUGAAUGUGUCAGUGCAUGGAAUGCAGCCAGAAUAUUUGAUCUUCUCUGGCUCUAUCAUGGCACUGCAGCAGAGAUCUGCAAAACAGCACCGGUUAAAUCUGAAACUCCUCUCGUUCAACUCUGCAGUGUAUCAGCCAGAACUGAUUUAAUAAUGCUUUCUGUAGUCACUGUGGUAUCACAGUGGUAACAGGUGUAUGGUGAAUUGAAACAUUGUAAUCAUUAACUAACACGUUCACUAUUAAUGAUUCUCUAUUAUUGUUUUCUAUUUCUCAGUUUCUGGAGCCAAAUAAAUGAUGGUAGAAGUUCACUAUUGUGGCAAAAUCAAACAGAGAAAAGUUAGAGAGUGCUGAUUUCAAGAUUUUCUGCACUGUCUUCAUUUAUUCCCUUCAUGCUUUACAGCAUUCUGAUAACAGACUGGUAAUUUCAGCACCCAGCGAUAGGAGAUGGAUUCUAUUCAUCAUCCCAAUGACCCAGCACAUGAUAAUCCAAUCAUCAUCCAAUGACCUGGCUUAUCAUUAGUACAGUGGACAGAGGUUUUGACACCUGUUCUGCCCAGUUUGCAUAACAGUGGCAUUACUGGCAUUUUUGAGCACAUUUCUGUCAAGCUGUGUUAAAGCUUUCAGUGGUUUGGGGUUUUGUGAUCUUAGUGCACAUGAUUUGACGGGUUCAGGCGCUGGCUGGGGCGACAUCAGCUGGAGUCAGAGCUGUUCCAGUUGUACCAAACUACAAAGUAUAUUGCCAAAGUAGUGGUCAUUGACUACUUUGGAGGCUUGGGAGUCCUUAAAACUGUAGAAACUAAAGAAAGAUGAGUAACAAUGUGGGGCUGGAGAUCCCAUAGAAAUAAAUACCGCACUGCUUCAUAAAACUGGGACAUCUUCUUACAGCAAGGUGGACCCGGAUGCCAGCUCUCAGGCAGAGCCACAGCAGAGCUGGAUAAGCAGCUCUUCUCCACAAGUAUUAUCCACGCUUGACUGCAAGUUCCCCAGUGGAAGUAUUUCCAAGUGCCGCGUGCGAGCGGCCAGCAGGUACCGCUCGAGCAUCAGCAGUUGCUCACAGCUGUGCGGGAAGGGUUGCUCACAGCUCUGCCUUCCGCACGGGGUGCUGUGGGUGCAGCCUAAGGCUCUAGUCUGGGCUUUUCGGAGCAUGGCCCGAGGGCUGUGAGCUGAGCAGUCUGUGUAUUUCCCUGGUUCCUGACACAGGGUUUGCACUUGGUUACUGCAGACCGUUCUUGGAUUUCUGUGUUUCGGUAUACCUAGAAAUAGCAAUGACUGUUAAAGCAGCGUCAAGGCUGCAUCGAGCAGGCUAGCCAUAAUUGAAUCUCCCAGCUAGAGAAGUAGUUUAAACGGGUACAGCUGGAUCAGAGAGAGAGGUGGGAGUGGUGAAAUGGACAGAGAUGUUCUUUACUGCCUUAGAGCAGGCCAGGGGUUCUGCUGUGGGAGGGAAAGGCAGGAAGAGGGCAGAGAAGGACUGCAAGAGGGACAGCUCUGAAAGCCAAGCUAGACAGACUGGAGACUUCCAGACUCCUGAAGACCCGCAUUACUGAUGUAAAAAAAAAAAGUGGAAAAAUGCUUAUUUUUUCCCUUGGACUGAAAUCCUACAGGAUCCUUAAUCUCUUACAAAGACACACCGAGGGCAUGAGCUGCUUUUCUUUUCCUCUGACGGCCACCUUUGACUCAGAGGGGGAGACAAUUUGUUUGAUAAAACAAGGAACCAAGAGGCAGGAUUCCUGCUUUCUGCUGUCAGAAAUCUGCCACUCGUUGGCUGUCUCACUUGGAGCCUGUCACACCAGACAAAUCGGGAGUUACUGGCCUAAAGUUGAAAUAGAGAUCUCAGAACGCUAUGUAAACUGCCUGCAUCUCGGAGAGAUCCCCUGGAGGCUUUGACGUCAUUAAUCAAUAUACUACUGCUGCUUGUCCCUGUAGCAGGGCAGAAUAUGGUUUGCUUCACUGCCCGUCAGAUUCAGCUCAACGGAUGCUCAAGAGCUGCCAUGCUUCACUUAUCGGUGCACGCCUAGUAAGGAUGGCUUUACAUCAUUCUAGGCUGUAAGGGGAUGUGGAAAUCCCACUGCAGCGAGGAGCCUGAUCCCUCAUCCCAGUUUCUGUUAUCCUCACUGUGGCAUAAGCAUGGAUAUGCUUGGGUCAUCACUACUGCAUCUUCUGAGCAGACACCAGAGAGGAGCUUAUCAAACAUGUCAGAGAACUCUUUCCUGCUACUACAUCAUCUGAGGUUCAACAAAAGCUCGCAAAGUGGAAAUGGGUGGAAAAGCAUCAAGGAGGGGGUUGGACUAGGUGAUUUCCAGAGGUCCCCUCUUACAAUUCCAUGAAAGAGAAAGGAAAAACUACACCCAACAGAGAAAGAAGAGAGAAGGUGAGGAGAAGUCAAAUUCAGAGCUCAGAGAAGCAUGAGGAGGGCAUCCAGGAACCUACCUAGGAGGAUAUGCUGCAGGAGGGGCAGCAAAGGGGCAGAAUGGAGCCAGAGACUCCAGGAGCACCUGGGAAGAUAGGUCUGUGUGACUGGGGACUCUGUAAGUGAAAUCAUCACCAUGUCACAGAAGGGAUCUGGAAGAAGAGCAAAGGCGAGUAGGCUAUGUGGUAGUAUUGCCUGCCUGUGAUGUUGAUUGUGAAGGAACAAGAAGGAGUAGAGCUGAUAAAACACCUGGGUUCAAAUUACCUUGAGGAAAGAUGACUGGAAUUCUGCUGCAGUUAACCAAGGUUGCCUCAGGAUAUUGAUGAAGGUCUCUCAUGCUUUUAGAAAGAUCUGCACUACCAAGAAUCAUCAUUACUACAGGUUUUAUCUUCCUAUCUGGAGAAUAAUUGCUACUAGCACUGGCUGGACUCAGGUAUUCCCGGAUGCAUCAGCUGACACAUUUCCUCACAAAGAGGGAGCGAACUAAUCAGAGCUGCUGUUGUGCUCUUGGUAAGAAGUGAGACAUUACAGAACAAUGUGGCGGGAGAUAACUUCUAACCUUGACUGGGCACAGGCUGAUUCUGUUUAAAUUAAAUGGAAGAAUAAAUAUCAUGGGGCCACAGUGAAUAUUUUUUUUCAACCAAAAACCAGGAAUCAUCACAGAAGUUAUGGAUGGAGGUGAUGAAGACAUUUGAGCUAAAAGUCUCAAGUAUUUGUAUGUGGAAGACGUUCAGACUUAACAUUGCAAAAGCUAGCUUGGUUUCCUGAGCAAGGGAAUGGAUGGACAGUGUAUAGAAAAUGUGCCUCUUUCUCGUGACGAAACUUGCUCAGUGAAAGAUGUGUGUGUUCAGCAAAAUACCCACAGAGCUUAGGGAAGAGGACACAUCAGUUGGCAGAUAUCAAGGUGAGAUAGACCUGGCUGCAGAAAUCCUAAGUAGCCCAAAGAAGUGGUUUGUAAAGGUAAGAAAGAUCAAGGAAAGAGAUCAGACCUCUGUGCAGUGAGACGACGAUCAGGAUAUGCCUCAUAAAUCCAGUUUUGGCUCAGUUUGUGGGAAAAUUGUGUAGAAAAAGGAGACUGCAAGACAAAAGCACCUGGAAAUAGAAACAAUCCCAUCAGAGGUCAAGGAAAAACUUGCAAGGUUUAUUCAGAUCAGGAGGUUCCCAGAAAUCUGAAAAAAUGCCACAUCACUGAGUAGUAAGUCCAAUGACAAAGAUGUUCAGUCAUCCUGUGGAACUGAGGUGUGGACAAGGACUACGCAGUUGCAUAGUGCCAACUAUUUUACCUAAAUAUAAGCAAUGGUACAAAACAAGGAUGUGGUUAUUUACAGACUCAAGAUCUCAGAACAACUGAGGCCAAGAAGAAUGUUAAGAACAAAUAAACAUAUUGAAGUGUAUGGACAGUGGGACAACAUUUAACGUGGUUAUAUGAAACAUGGAACCUUUUGGAUUGUUUUUAUAAUGGAGGAGAGAACUGCUCAUUUUUAGACAUUGGUUACGUGGAAUGUACUUAUAUUUGACAUAAGGUGGUAAGGAAAUUGUGAAAGCACAGGGGUACAGGGAUUCACAAUUGAACUAGAAAGUGGGUAAGGAAUUACUGAAUGAAGAGACGCUGAAACAUAAAGCAGUAGGCAAUUGCUAAUGAAAUUCCUUAGCGACUGAUUUUGGCACCAGCCAAUUUCAUAUCUUCAGUAAUGACCUUGGAGAAAAAGUGUAGUUGUUGCUGAAGAGACAAAACAGAGGUGCUGCCAGUAGCAAGGAGGGCAGAGAUACCUGCCAGCAGAACUGGAAAAGGAGCGAUAAAUGUUUACCAAGCGCAAAGACUGGCACUAGAGUGAUCUGGAAAACAAGUGAGAGCUGAUGAUAGGAGCCUUGCCAGUCUUUGACUUUUUUUUAGCCUAGCAAGACGAGUGUUAAGAGGGCAUAUGAUUGCUGCCUAUUAAUACAUCAGAUGGGUAAAUCCCAGGGAAACAGAGCUGCUAUUUGAACUAAAAGACUGAAGAGCACUGGCAUGAGAACUGGCAUAUAUGCAUCACCUACUUAAAACAGAGGGCAGAUACUAAAGGGUGAUUUUAACACUAAUAUUGUGGAGACAACAGCUAAGUUGUUUGCAAAUGUGUGCCAUAAAAAAUGGCUCUGGAGCCAAACUUUCUCUCUGCCUUGACCAAUAUUGAAGAAGCUGUCCUUCAAUUCUGCUGUGGGAAAACUUAGCUUAGCCUGAGCUGCGAAAUACAAAUCACGGUCUCAUUGUUUCUGAGAUUGGGAUGGAAAGAUGGAAAAACUUCUUUGGUGACCUCCCCAAAACAUGCAUGUUUGGCACAGUCUUCACAGCUGUGCUCUCUUCAAUACAAGUGGACAUGUUACUGCAGCUCCUCUUGUGGGCGGUAGCACAAGAGAUGCUGGACACUGCCACUUGCCAGAGAUUGCCAACUGAGGGACUGGAUCUUCUUGGAAAAGUGUGCACAACAGAUUGGAAGGACCCCAGCAGGGAUAACUUGCCACUUCUCAAAUGUUUCUGAAGUCUUUUCUUCCGUGCGAGCAGAGGAAGAGGUCACUCUGACAACCAUCUCCCAUUCCCUCUACACUCACCUGGGGGGAGAGGUGAGAGAGCAGUGCCCAAGGCACGGGUUUAGGUUGUUCUGAGAGUAACCACCAUGUGUGCUCCUUCCCAAGGGGCAGUGGGGGGCCUGAGGGGAGUCAGCCGAAGCAUUCUACCCAUAACUGAUGUAGUCCUAAAAGAUGCACUGUUCCAAUGCAUCCAUGAGCAAGUGACUGAGGUAGAGGAAAGAAGGGAGCCCUUUGUCACCACGCUGAACAAUAGCCGGUCUGUGGGACGGGGAGCAACACUGCCCCAGCCAGCAUCAGCUGCCCUUGUUUCUUCCGUCACGCUGACAAUGCACAGUUGCAGGGCUUCUUUCCCUGCGUGGAGAAUGGGAUUUAGUGAUACCAUAAGUUAGUCAAACCGGCAGCCAAGAUACCAGUUCGAGCCCUGUUCAAUGGAGCAUUUUCUUUGUGUUGUUUUUCCUCCACUUCCCCUAUUUUGCACUAAGAUGCAUUUCCUCUCUGUAGUGUGAGCACCACAAACACAUACACUUUCACUCAUCUCACUCUCAUUUACCUCCUAUUUCAGAAGAAGCAGCUAUGAGCUUGUAUUGCUAAGGAGAUUGAAUAUUUUGCCCUUGGACAAAUAAACAAUAUUAAUUAUUGGAA